rnacentral:rRNA from 1 species
ACGGCGCCGGGGAGGCNUCCGCGCCCCCGGGCCCGCGCCCGCCGAAGACCACAACAUGGAACUCUGUUCUGAAGGUUGUGGCAGUCUGAGUUGAUUAUCAUAAUCAGUUAAAACUUUCAACAACGGAUCUCUUGGUUCCGGCAUCGAUGAAGAACGCAGCGAAAUGCGAUAACUAAUGUGAAUUGCAGAAUUCAGUGAAUCAUCGAGUCUUUGAACGCACAUUGCGCCCCCUGGUAUUCCGGGGGGCAUGCCUGUCCGAGCGUCAUUGCUGCCCUCAAGCACGGCUUUGUGUGUUGGGCCCCCGUCCCCGGUUUCCCGGGGACGGGCCCGAAAGGCAGCGGCGGCACCGCGUCCGGUCCUCGAGCGUAUGGGGCUUUGUCACCCGCGUCUUGUAGGGCCGGCCGGCGCCUGUCGACACCAACCCAAUUUUUCUA